rnacentral:lncRNA from 1 species
CCUCUUCCAAUAAGCACUUUUAUCUUGUGGUUUUAAACAAUAUACACAUUGGCAGUAAAUAGCUGAGUAAUCUUUUCAAACUUGCAUAAAUUUCAAACCAGAUUUUCACUCUCCAAACGAAUUGAAAACAAAUUCUGAAAAAUCAUGGAAAACAAAUGGAACUGAAAAAUCUGUAAGUAUUUAAACAGACUCUCAGGACCCCUAAGUAACGUUAAAAAGUACCCUGAGAAUGAAUCAAAACAAUAUAAUUGCUUGCGAUUACUGUGCAUGUAAAUAUGGAAUCAGUCCCAAAGGACUGGAUGGGUAAUAAGUAUUUCUCUUUUAUAUGUCUGCUGGCUCUGACCCUGGAAACACUCAGCUGGGAACUGGUGUGUCUGCUCUGAUGUCUGGGUGGACUACAGCUGGGCAACAUCACCAUGCCUGUGCAUGAGAAGGAAUGAUUCCCCCUCCUCCCUCUCAAUUCUUCUGACAUCUGCUAAUGAACUCCAGAGGACUGACUUUGCAGAGCCGGCUCAUCCCUCCUGUAGAGGAAGGACAUUUGGGAUAAUGCAUUGCUGCAAGUAACUAUGUGAAGAUAUUUGAAGAUAUUUGUGAUGUGUGUGAUAUUU